rnacentral:rRNA from 1 species
AUUAUAAAUGGCCGCGGUACUUUGACCGUGCUAAGGUAGCGUAAUUAGUUGGUUUUUAAAUGGAGUCAGGAAUGAAUGGAUUAACGGGGAUAAGCUGUCUCUUAUUUGUUUAUUUGAAAUUACCUUUCGGUGAAAAGGCUUGAUUAUAAACGUAAAGACGAGAAGACCCUUAGAGUUUUGCUUACAGUAAAAUAAAAUAUUAUUUAUAAGGGUUUAGUUGGGGUGACAAAGGAGUAGAGUAAAAUCUCCUUUAUUAUUAACAAGUCGAUUUUUAUAGGAAAGAAUAAACUACCUUAGGGAUAACAGCAUAAUUUUAUUAUUAAGUUUGUGACCUCGAUGUUGGACUAGGAAACUAAUGAGUUAGCCGCUUAUUAUGUAAGGUUCUGUUCGAACUUAAUUUCCU